AACUCUUAGCGGUGGAUCACUUGGCUUGUGCGUCGAUGAAGAAUGCAGCUCGCAGCGAGAACUAAUGUGAAUCAUGCUCGGUCAUUAACACUCAGGAUGACUCAGCUCUUAUCAAGAAAUUGUCGAGCAAAGCCA
rnacentral:rRNA from 1 species